rnacentral:rRNA from 1 species
GAUGAACGCUGGCGGCGUGCCUAAUACAUGCAAGUCGAGCGAACAGACGAGGAGCUUGCUCCUCUGACGUUAGCGGCGGACGGGUGAGUAUCACGUGGAUAACCUACCUAUAAGACUGGGUUAACUUCGGGAAACCGGAGCUUAUACCGGAUAAUAUAUUGAACCGCAUGGUUCAAUAGUGAAAGACGGUUUUGCUGUCACUUAUAGAUGGAUCCGCGCCGCAUUAGCUAGUUGGUAAGGUAACGGCUUACCAAGGCAACGAUGCGUAGCCGACCUGAGAGGGUGAUCGGCCACACUGGAACUGAGACACGGUCCAGACUCCUACGGGAGGCAGCAGUAGGGAAUCUUCCGCAAUGGGCGAAAGCCUGACGGAGCAACGCCGCGUGAGUGAUGAAGGUCUUCGGAUCGUAAAACUCUGUUAUUAGGGAAGAACAAAUGUGUAAGUAACUAUGCACGUCUUGACGGUACCUAAUCAGAAAGCCACGGCUAACUACGUG